GUCUAUGGCCAUGCUACCCUGAAUAAGCCCGAUCCCGUCUGAUCUUGAAAGCUAAGCAGGGUCGGGCCUGGUUAGUAUUUGAUGGGAGACUAGCUAGGAAGACCAAGCGCUGUAGGCA
ensembl:rRNA 5S_rRNA 5S ribosomal RNA